GAUGAACGCUAGCGAUAGGCUUAACACAUGCAAGUCGAGGGGCAGCAUGGUCUUAGCUUGCUAAGACUGAUGGCGACCGGCGCACGGGUGCGUAACGCGUAUGCAACUUGCCUCACAGAGGGGGAUAACCCGUCGAAAGACGGACUAAUACCGCGUACACUCUAUUUUGGGCAUCCAAGGUAGAGGAAAUGAAAUUCGCUGUGAGAUAGGCAUGCGUCCCAUUAGCUAGUUGGUGAGGUAACGGCUCACCAAGGCGACGAUGGGUAGGGGAACUGAGAGGUUGAACCCCCACACUGGUACUGAGACACGGACCAGACUCCUACGGGAGGCAGCAGUGAGGAAUAUUGGUCAAUGGGCGAGGGCCUGAACCAGCCAAGUCGCGUGAAGGAUGACUGUCUUAUGGAUUGUAAACUUCUUUUGUAGGGGAAUAAAGAGGGGCACGUGUGCCCCAGUGAAUGUACCCUACGAAUAAGCAUCGGCUAACUCCGUGC
rnacentral:rRNA from 1 species